AGGUUCAGGUGCUUAAGAUGCCUGAUCAGCCGCAGCAACAGGCUGGCCCCCUGCAAGGCCUGGAGCAGCCCGUGGCAUCAGCACAUCUUUGGCCCCUUGGAUCUGCCCCUGAGCCUGGCCCUGGAAGCCCUCCUUCAGCUGAGUUUCAGCUGCGAUAUGGUCAGUGCUAUCCUGCAUAGGAUAAUGGAGGCUGUUCUUGGGGGCGCAGAAAAGGAGGAGGAC